rnacentral:rRNA from 1 species
GAUGAACGCUAGCGGCAGGCUUAAUACAUGCAAGUCGAGGGGCAGCAUGGUGGUAGCAAUACCACUGACGGCGACCGGCAAACGGGUGCGGAACACGUACGCAACUUACCCUUAACUGGGGGGAUAGACCCGGGGAAAACCCGGAUUAAUACCUCGUAACAUAUUGUGGUGGCAUCACCAUAUUAUUAUAGCUUUUAUUGGUGGUUAAGGAUGGGCGUGCGGCUGAUUAGGUAGUUGGCAGGGAACGCCUACCAAGCCUGCGAUCAGUAACUGGUGUGAGAGGAUGAUCAGCCACAUUGGGACUGAGACACGGCCCAAA